GACAACUGGCUUGCGACGGCCAAGCGUUCAUAGCGACGGCGCUUUUGAUCCUUCGUCGGCUCUUCCCAUCAUCAUGAAGCAGAUUUCACUCACCAAGCAGUGGAAUUGUUCACCCACUAACAGGGGUUAAGAGCGUCCUGAGACAGGUU
rnacentral:ncRNA from 1 species